UUCGUAUUAAAUCGGACUAAAACAGGGAUUAGCAUAAUAGCUUUGGUUGAAUGUUUCUCCAAGCCCACAUGGACCGAAGUCCACAAGUUCAAGUUGCCCACAAGUUCAAGUUGCCCACAUGUGGACCGGCUUCGUUUUUAAUACAAGUAGGCCUUACAAAUUCUAUGAGUUGAAGACCUAGGAGGAUCUUUUCUUGAAGUCGUAGCCCCACACACCAAACAUUAGUUCUGUUUUUGUACUUUUCCUAAAUCUUUAAUUUGUCUUUUUGAUGAGGAUGUUGUUUUGAAUACACGUUUUUUUUUAAGAUGUUUAUAAUAAGGUGAUUAUGUAAGUAGGUGUGUCAUGAGAAUUUUGCCAAAUCACAUUUUCCUAAUACUACUAGUGUUUAACAAAAUAGCUCAUAUUCAUUCAUAUGCACAAAUGAAACCAUUAAAAUUAUUAAUUUAUGGAAACUACGUUGAUGGAUGA
rnacentral:lncRNA from 1 species